rnacentral:rRNA from 1 species
UUCCGGUUGAUCCUGCCGGACCCCACUGCUAUCGGGAUAGGACUAAGACAUGCUAGUCGAGUGAUUCAGGCAAAACGAGUCACGGCACACAGCUCAGUAACACGUGGCUAAUCUGCCCUUAGGACGAGAACAACCCCGGGAAACUGGGGCUAACUCUCGAUAGGCGAAGAACUCUGGAAUGAGUCUUUACCUAAAUAGUGCAACGUUAUCCUCGUUGCAUCGCCUAAGGAUGAGGCCGCGACCGAUCAGGUUGUUGGCGAGGUAAUGGCUCACCGAGCCUUUUACCGGUGCGGGCCGUGAGAGCGGGAGCCCGGAGAUGGGCACUGAGACAAGGGCCCAGGCCCUACGGGGCGCAGCAGUCGCGAAAACUUUGCAAUAAGCGAAAGCUUGACAGGGCUAUCCCGAGUGCCAUCCGCUGAGGAAGGCUUUUACCCAGUCUAGAACGCUGGGGGAAUAAGGAGAGGGCAAGUCUGGUGUCAGCCGCCGCGGUAAUACCAGCUCUCCGAGUGGUGUGGAUGUUUAUUGGGCCUAAAGCAUCCGUAGCUGGCUAGGUCAGUCCCUUGUUAAAUCCACCGAAUUAAUCGUUGGAUUGCGGGGGAUACUGCUUGGCUAGGGGACGAGAGAGGCAGACGGUAUUUUCGGGGUAGGGGUGAAAUCCUAUAAUCCCGGGAAGACCACCAGUGGCGAAGGCUGUCUGCUAGAACGCGCCCGACGGUGAGGGAUGAAAGCUGGGGGAGCGAACCGGAUUAGAUACCCGGGUAGUCCCAGCUGUAAACGAUGCAGACUAGGUGUUUGGACGGCCACGUGCCGUUCUAGUGCCGCAGGGAAGCUGUUAAAUCUGCCGCCUGGGGAGUACGAUCGCAAGAUUGAAACUUAAAGGAAUUGGCGGGGGGAGCACCACAAGGGGUGAAGCUUGCGGUUUAAUUGGAUUCAACGC